AAGUAUAUACAGAGUAUGACUCUGCCGCCCGAAAAGCAGUGAGCUAACCCAACCUACUCUAGGAGACAAUAACCUACUGUUGCAAUAGUAGUAAAAAGGUUGGGUUAGCAGUUAAAUGCUAACCGCACUGCUUGAUAGCUGGUAUUCAGGGAAAGAGGUAUAAGCCUUUCUAUUUAACGGCACCUAAACACCUUUGAGGAAUGAACACUAAAGCCAAAGAAUAGAAAGAAAGCAGAAGACAAGUCCUGCUUUCAAGAGGGAAACAACCCAAAGUGUGACUAAGGUCAUACCCAACAAGGACCCCAUAAAAACCGUAGGCCUAACAGCUGCCAACCCUUGGGAAAGCGUUAAAGCUCAACACUGUUAUUAGAUCCACCCAAUAAGUGAUAAUCCAACCACUCUCCACUAAAAGUACCUGAAACUGAUAAUGUUAAAACGAGUAAAAAGAAACAUUCUUACUAACCUAUAAAGAAAAAAUAAAACAAACCAAGAUAGAAGAACCAUCAAGAAAUUCUAUAAAACCUAUUCUUCCAACUCAGGAAUAUAAAGUAAGAGGCUAAAAGGCGAGAGAGGAACUCGGCAAACAUAAAAGAGGACUGUUUACCAAAAACAUAGCCCCUUGCUCUACAUAAGGGGUCACGCCUGCCCGGUGGACACCCUAAACGGCCGCGGUAUCUUGACCGUGCAAAGGUAGCAUAAUCACUUGUCCUUUAAAUGGGGACUCGUAUGAAUGGCAAAACCUCUUUUGACUGUCUUUCCCGCCCUCCUUAUAAACUCACAUCCAUGUGAAGAGUCAUGGAUGUUAAAGAAAGACGAGAAGACCCUGUCGAGCUUUAGUCCAAAGGAGAAUAAAAGAGUCAACUUUUAAAGCUCGUUUUCUACAUCUUCUAAAGACUUUGGUUGGGGCAACCAUGGAGAAAAACAACCCUCCAGAAACAGCAGAAGAAAACCAAUUCUCUGUAUAAAAAUAGUGAACCAGGAACUGGAAAACGGAAAAAGUUACCGCAGGGAUAACAGCGUUAUCUUCUCUAAGAGUCCUUAUUGACGAGAAGGUUUGCGACCUCGAUGUUGGAUUAGGGCCCCCACAGGGUGCAGAAGCUCUAAAAGGUUGGACUGUUCGUCCAUUAAAGCCCU
rnacentral:rRNA from 1 species